rnacentral:rRNA from 1 species
UACAGAGGUCUCAAGCGUUGUUCGGAUUCAUUGGGCGUAAAGGGUGCGUAGGCGGCGCGGUAAGUCGGGUGUGAAAUCUUGGAGCUUAACUCCGAAACUGCAUUCGAAACUGCCGUGCUUGAGGACUGGAGAGGAGACUGGAAUUUACGGUGUAGCGGUGAAAUGCGUAGAUAUCGUAAGGAAGACCAGUGGCGAAGGCGGGUCUCUGGACAGUUCCUGACGCUGAGGCACGAAGGCCAGGGGAGCAAACGGG